AUCGAACGCUGGCGGCAGGCCUAACACAUGCAAGUCGAACGAGUGGCGGACGGGCGAGCAAUGGCUGGGAAACUGCCUGAUGGAGGGGUAUAACUAGUGGAACCGGUAGCUAAUACCGCAACCGAUCAUAUGUGCCCACAUGGGAUUAGCUUGUUGGUGGGGUAACGGCUCACCAAGGCGACGAGCCCUACCUGGUCUGAGAGGCUGACCAGCCACACUGGAACUGAGACACGGUCCAGACUCCUACGGGAGGCAGCAGUGGGGAAUAUUGCACAAUGGGCGCAAGCCUGAUGCAGCCAUGCCGCGUGUAUGAAGAAGGCCUUCGGGUUGUAAAGUACUUUCAGCGGGGAGGCGUUACCCGCAGAAGAAGCACCGGCUAACUCCGUGCCAGCAGCCGCGGUAAUAC
rnacentral:rRNA from 1 species